AACCUGCAGAGGGAGAUGGGGCAGUGAGCGGGCACUUCUCCUCAGGCCAGAGCCUCCUGCCCAAGGGAAGUGGCAUUUGGUGCUGCAAAUCCUGCAAGAAAAUCCUGCUAUUAUUUCCCUUCUGGCAGGGGCAAGAGGAUGGCCCACACCACAAUUCCUGCACCAUAAAUCAGGAAGAGGAAGCAAUAGAAAAAACACAGAGAAGAUGAUUUUUUCCACUGUAGAACAGGAGCGUUAUCAUUAAGAUGCUUCUCUUAUAGGAAACCCAGCGCAGUCAGUGUUUCGGUGAGAGUAAAGCAUGCCCUGAAGAGGCAGCUCUAGCUGCUGAUUAGAGCAGCAAACUAAUUAUAUUUUUAAAAGUGGGACGUCAAACAUUUCAGCCUACAGACACCAUAACUAACUCAGUCCUCUGUCCCUUCUUGCACUCUAAAAUUAAGUUACUGUCUCAGCUCUCUGUCAUAAUUAGAUGAGGCCCUGUUGCCACUCAGCUUCCUCUCCGACAAGAGAACAAAAAUUCAUUUAAAAGCUUGAAGGCACCCCAGCUGACACUACAUUUUCAGCUGGCCAUCCACCUGAGCUGAUGUGGGGCUCCUGUAAGCAACCUGCACCCUGCUGGGACACUUGCCUCAUUUUAGUUCUGCUGAGAAAUGUGGGCAUCCCUGGUCCCCUGAGCAGUGCAGCAGUAGGGCCAUGAGGCUGCAUCUGGUACAGCUCACCGUGCGCAGGAGGGCUGGCUAGGUCUGAGUCCUGGCUCCUUUCUUAAAAGAGAGAGAACAACAAACCAAAUCAAGCUUCUCAACGCUCACCAUUGCUGGGACGAGACGCAGGCACCACCGAGCACACCGCAGAGCCACCGUCCUCCCUCGUGGAGGUGAGCAUUGCCCAAAAUCUCCAUCCAGCUGCCAAAUCCCCAUUCCCAUCCCAGCAGUGCGAGAGCCUUCCCUGCCCCCUGGCUCCUGCAGAGGACACCGUGACCGUUUCCCCCUGCCCCUCCCGGCUGCAGCCCCUUACCUG